UUAAUUGAAGAGUUUGAUCAUGGCUCAGAUUGAACGCUGGCGGCAGGCCUAACACAUGCAAGUCGAGCGGCAGCACAGAGGAACUUGUUCCUUGGGUGGCGAGCGGCGGACGGGUGAGUAAUGCCUGGGAAAUUGCCCGGUAGAGGGGGAUAACCAUUGGAAACGAUGGCUAAUACCGCAUGACCUCGUAAGAGCAAAGCAGGGGACCUUCGGGCCUUGCGCUACCGGAUAUGCCCAGGUGGGAUUAGCUAGUUGG
rnacentral:rRNA from 1 species